GAGAGCGGAGGAGGAGCGUCCCACACUCCCAGAGACCGCGGGAUUCUCGGGGAGUGCACACUUCCCCUCCGCUCUCGUCCGGAGGCCGGCUAUGUCCGGCCGGGCUCGGGCUUCUGAACACCGGUUUCAAAUCAGUUCCCCGAGCCCAGCGUGACUCAGGGAAGUGGUGGCAUUUUGUGAGAUGGACGUACACCUGCCAGGUUGGGGGAGGCAGCCCCAGUCGCGGGCCCCGCACCCCGAGGCCGUUAGACUGUGGAGGACGGGGACUGGAGAGGCUUCUGCACCUCCUUCCGCAGAUCACAUCCCUGGGGCGGGGACGCGGCCUCGCCUAAGGAUUUUUGUUCACCUCUGACCCCACCGGAGAAUCCCGGCCUCCCGUCUUCCGGUCUCCCCGAUUCUAGGUUGCUGCUAAAUCACGGAGAACAGUCUUGGCGCCGCCGGUCCCAACUUGAUCCGAGGAGCCUUGUGAAGGAGUUGAGAUUCAGUACCAGGGGCCGGCCCCAGCUCCCAUCCUCCGGAAUCUGCAAAAUGGCUACUUCAGAAAUGGUGGGGAGAGGAAUGACAAGAGCCCAGAGAUCAAGGCCUUCGAGUUAUUUUGGGCACAAAAUAGACAGUUUUGGAUUUUCCCUAAUCUUUUCCAACAGCAAGAAUGAGAUUAUCAAAAGAUGUAGAGCUUUUAGAUCAAGCCACAGGGAGCCAGAAUUCUUUUGACUUGGUGGGUACCUGAGAGUUGGAAGGAUUUAGAUUGAGUAGUCUUUGGCCUUUGGGGAGCUUGCACUUUGCACAGUCACCUAAGAAACGAUACUUUCCCCCCACUGUGAAACACUAACUAGAGAUGAUGGACAAAAAGCACAUUUGCUCUAAUCUCCCUUCGACGGAAUCCAGGUUGGUAUAGAUGUCGAAGCAGCUGCUUCCAGGUAGUCAACGAAGAUGUCAACUACUAAGUGACAACAGACAAGGAUGAUCACAGCAGAGUUGUAAGAUUCUAGAUAUGAAAAAAGAGCAAGCAGUCUGUUGUGCUCACCAUCGCAUCUUCAGCUGCUGCCCAGUGCCUGGUUUUAACUUAGUGCUCGGUGUAUGUGUCAGGUUUGAAUCCCAAUUCUGAUACUACCUGUGCUACACUCUUCACCUCUCUGAAUUAAAUGAAACAAGAUACAGAAAAAUGUCCUGCAUGUAUAUUUAGUGCCUAGCAAAUAUUGGUUGAACGUCGAAAGUGACAAGGAGGCUCAGUAUGUUCUUACAUGCUUUGCCACCUUUCUCCAGAGCGAGUAUGUCCUUGUCCAGCUCAUCUGCUUCUCUCACCACGUUUGCCCUCCCUCCCUCCACCUGUCCUCCAAAUGACUCAAAAUAAUCAGCACUAUUUAGUGUGCAUCUACUGUGUUCCAAGACAAUGAGGAUCAGAUGAGCCUGCAUUGCAGGAUGGAAAUUUCCAGCUAUAUUCUGUUUAUAGCUGAUAGUAUUUGCACCUAACGCAAAGGUUUACGAACUUUACUAUUAUAGAAUCAUUUGGAAUACCUGUUAAAGAUGCCCACCUCUCCAUACCUCCCAUUCCUAAGAUUCUGCUGGAAGGCACCCAAGAUAGGGGCUCUGGAUCUGCUUUUCUUAUUUUUUACGUCUCUAUACAUUAUUUUACAUAAAUGUAUAAAUGGAGUCAUGACAUA